CUAUAACAUGUUUAUAACAUGUUUAUAACAUACUUAUGUCAUGGUAUAACAGAUGUGGUGUUGUGGCAGUAGAGAGAGUGACGACUACCCUUACUAAACAUCUAUAACAUGUUUAUAACAUACUUAUGUCAUGGUAUAACAGAUGUGGUGUUGUGGCAGUAGAGAGACUGAUGACUACCCUUACUAAACAUGUUUAUAACAUACUUAUGUCAUGGUAUAACAGAUGUGGUGUUGUGGCAGUAGAGAGACUGACUACCCUUACUAAACAUGUUUAUAACAUACUUAUGUCAUGGUAUAACAGAUGUGGUGUUGUGGCAGUAGAGAGACUGAUGACUACCCUUACUAAACAUGUUUAUAACAUACUUAUGUCAUGUUAUAACAGAUGUGGUGUUGUGGCAGUAGAGAGACUGACGACUACCCUUACUAAACAUCUAUAACAUGUUUAUAACAUACUUAUGUCAUGUUAUAACAGAUGUGGUGUUGUGGCAGUAGAGAGACUGACUACUACCCUUACUAAACAUCUAUAACAUGUUUAUAACAUACUUAUGUCAUGGUAUAACAGGUGUGGUGUUGUGGCAGUAGAGAGACUGACGACUACCCUUACUAAACAUCUAUAACAUGUUUAUAACAUACUUAUGUCAUGUUAUAACAGAUGUGGUGUUGUGGCAGUAGAGAGACUGACGACUACCCUUACUAAACAUCUAUAACAUGUUUAUAACAUACUUAUGUCAUGUUAUAACAGAUGUGGUGUUGUGGCAGUAGAGAGACUGACGACUACCCUUACUAAACAUCUAUAACAUGUUUAUAACAUGUUUAUAACAUACUUAUGUCAUGGUAUAACAGAUGUGGUGUUGUGGCAGUAGAGAGACUGACGACUACCCUUACUAAACAUCUAUAACAUGUUCAUAACAUACUUAUGUCAUGUUAUAACAGAUGUGGUGUUGUGGCAGUAGAGAGACUGACGACUACCCUUACUAAACAUCUAUAACAUGUUUAUAACAUACUUAUGUCAUGGUAUAACAGGUGUGGUGUUGUGGCAGUAGAGAGACUGAUGACUACCCUUACUAAACAUACUCUCAGUGCCGUAGACCAGUUAUUACCUGUUCAUAACAAGUCUUUUAUAGUUAUAUAGUUAUAGUCUAUAUGCUCUAAAACAUGGCUGAUCUAUGAGAUACAUAAUACAGAUCUGACAAACGUAUGGUAGCUCUAUCGAUGACAAC